rnacentral:tRNA from 1 species
GUGGGUAUAGCUCAGUGGUAGAGCGCAUGCCUAGCAUGCAUAAGAUCCUGGGUUCAAUCCCCAGUGCAUUCA